rnacentral:rRNA from 1 species
GUAGGUGGCAAGCGUUGUCCGGGAAUUAUUGGGGCGUAAAGCGCGCGCAGGCGGUUCUUUAAGUCUGGAUGUGAAAGCCCACGGGCUCAACCGUGGGAGGGUCAUUGGAAACUGGAGAACUUGAGUACAGAAGAGGAAAGCGGAAUUCCACGUGUAGCGGUGAAAUGCGUAGAGAUGUGGAGGAACACCAGUGGCGAAGGCGGCUCUCUGGUCUGUAACUGACGCUGAGGCGCGAAAGCGUGGGGAGCAAACAGGAUUAGAUACCCUGGUAGUCCACGCCGUAAACGAUGAGUGCUAAGUGUUAGGGGGCUUCCGCCCCUUAGUGCUGCAGCUAACGCAUUAAGCACUCCGCCUGGGGAGUACGGCCGCAAAGGCUG